AUUGAACGCUGGCGGCAGGCCUAACACAUGCAAGUCGAACGAGUGGCGGACGGGUGAGUAAUGUCUGGGCAACUGCCUGCUGGAGGGGGCUAACUACUGGAAACGGUAGCUAAUACCGCAUACCAUCGGAUGUGCCCAGAUGGGAUUAGCUAGUAGGUGGGGUAACGGCUAACCUAGGCGACGCUCCCUAGCUGGUCUGAGAGGAUGACCAGCCACACUGGAACUGAGACACGGUCCAGACUCCUACGGGAGGCAGCAGUGGGGAAGAUUGCACAAUGGGCGCAAGCCUGAUGCAGCCAGGCCGCGUGUAUGAAGAAGGCCUUCGGGUUGUAAAGUACUUUCAGCGGGGAGGCGGUACCCACAGAAGAAGCACAGGCUAACUCCGUGCCAGCAGCCGCGGUAAUUC
rnacentral:rRNA from 1 species